GUUCCCCAUCCCAGGGCCCCGGGGCCUCCGGGACUCCCCCCGCAACCCAAUGCCGGCUGCGCCGGCGUCAUCCGCCAUUUGGUGUUUUCUCGGAGAAGAAGCUACAUGUGGAAUAUAUUAACGCAACAAAUUGUGCGUACUUGCUAGACAUUAGGCAUGAUAGCAAGUGCUAGGGUUACAAAGUAUUGCUUUUUGGGGAACCCAUGGUUGUUGGGGAGAAACCAGAAGAUCAGUCAUCACAGUGCGGCAAGAUCAGACUUGUGGUUUGUUCAGGUUCUGGGAGCCGUCACUGCAGUGAGAAUGGGACCCUGGUUGAAGGAACCUGUUGUUCUUAUGGUGGAGGGCAGAAACCCAAGAGGGCUGGAGCCAAUCCAUCCCUGUUUUCUUUAGACGCUGACUCCUGCUGUCUACCAGAUCCUCGUGGUACAAUGACUGGUGUAGACUGGCUUGUUGAAGUCACUCUCUGGAUCUGAGCAACGCUGGCUGAGCCGUGAUGAAGUAUUCCUAUCCAUCCACUAUGCUUCACAGUGGGAAUCUCUCACUGUUCAUCACCGCUGCCCUAGCAGCCGCAGGGAUUCUUCACCCAUGGUUGCUUAGGUUUAUAAGCAAGGAAGCUGAAUGAAGUCCCUUUCCUCUCUGGAUGAGCCCCUGGGUUUCUGGAAGAGUCUUAAAAUCACCCCUAAAUGGCUUCCAAGCACUGAAGCCCGAGAUGUUAGCUGGCCUGUGUGAGGCCUUGAGACAGAAUGCCACAGCCACACCCCAAGGAUGCUGAAGGGGAUUUCCCUCCUCUGUGGUUUUUCUCCUUUCUUCCCGCAGCACUCCUCCUACGUGCUAACAUCUUCUAGUCAAACAACUCUCCUUUUCAAAGGGACCAGGCACAGUUUCUGCUUAUCCCUGAGUAGCAGUGUUCAGUUUCCUGCCAGCCUGUGGAGUUUUUCAAACAAGCCAAUCACCUCCUCCUGUGGGAACUGAGAAGCACCCCACCCUCUCGAUACUACAAAGCCCCUGCUUGUUCCCUAGUGCAACUCCCAUGUGGUCCUGUGGAGCAUAUGGUAUCUUCCUCUUCUGGGCAGUGAGCAUAUGUGACUAAUAAACUAUCUAUCUCAUCUGUUCAGUGCCAGGUGUCAUUUGUUCUGCCAUCCCAUGACCUAGGGUGGGGAUUCCUUCCACACCAACAGGGUGAAUGCAAGGUGAUUAAAACAAGAAGCCUCUUCAGGAUCUAUAUCCUAGGGAAAAAAUUAAACAACAACAACAAAACAAGAAGCUUCAACUCUGACCCUGUAUUCCAGAUGUGUUACAGGGGCCUGUCUCCCCAGAGCCACUCUCCAGGUCAGAGCUUACCUCCCCUUGCUCAGGGUUAGGAGCUCUGGGCAGGAAAAGGACAUCAUGUUAAAA
rnacentral:lncRNA from 1 species